UGAACGCUGGCGGCGUGCCUAAUACAUGCAAAUCGAGCGAACAGACGCGGAGCUUGCUCCUCUGACGUUAGCGGCGGACGGGUGAGUGACACGUGGAUAACCUACCUAUAAGACUGGGAUAACUUCGGGAAACCGGAGCUAAUACCGGAUAAUAUAUUGAACCGCAUGGUUCAAUAGUGAAAGACGGUUUUGCUGUCACUUAUAGAUGGAUCCGCGCCGCAUUAGCUAGUUGGUAAGGUAACGGCUUACCAAGGCAACGAUGCGUAGCCGACCUGAGAGGGUGAUCGGCCACACUGGAACUGAGACACGGUCCAGACUCCUACGGGAGGCAGCAGUAGGGAAUCUUCCGCAAUGGGCGAAAGCCUGACGGAGCAACGCCGCGUGAGUGAUGAAGGUCUUCGGAUCGUAAAACUCUGUUAUUAGGGAAGAACAAAUGUGUAAGUAACUAUGCACGUCUUGACGGUACCUAAUCAGAAAGCCACGGCUAACUACGUG
rnacentral:rRNA from 1 species